UACGUAGGUGGCAAGCGUUAUCCGGAUUUACUGGGUGUAAAGGGCGUGUAGGCGGGACUGCAAGUCAGAUGUGAAAACCACGGGCUCAACCUGUGGCCUGCAUUUGAAACUGUAGUUCUUGAGUACUGGAGAGGCAGACGGAAUUCCUAGUGUAGCGGUGAAAUGCGUAGAUAUACGGAGGAACACCAGUGGCGAAGGCGGAUUGCUGGACAGUAACUGACGCUGAGGCGCGAAAGCGUGGGGAGCAAACAGG
rnacentral:rRNA from 1 species